GACGAACGCUGGCGGCGUGCUUAACACAUGCAAGUCGAACGGUCAACCUCGUCGGAGGGUCUCAGUAGCUAACGGGUGGAUAACACAUUAGCAACCUGCCCCCGUCUCUGGGAUAACUCCAAAACAUUGGGACUCAUACCGGAUGUUCACCGCUUCCCUCAUAGCUGGUGGUUGGAAGGGUUUCCGUUUGGGGAUUGGCCCGCGGCCUAUCAGCUUGUUGGUGGUGGAGUGGCAUACGAAGGCCACGAUAGGUAGCCGGCCUGAGAGGGUGAACGGGCACACUGGGACUGAGGGAGGGCGCAGACGGCUACGGGAGGCAGCGGGGGGGAAUAUGGCGCAGUGGGGGGAAGCGUGACACGGAGAUGCCGGGUGGGGGAUGACGGCCUUCGGGUUGUAAACAUCUUUCUGCGGAGACGAAGCGGAAGUGACGGUACCUGAAGAAGAAGCACCGGCCAACUACGUG
rnacentral:rRNA from 1 species